rnacentral:rRNA from 1 species
AUUGAACGCUGGCGGCAGGCCUAACACAUGCAAGUCGAACGGUAGCACAGAGAGCUUGCUCUCGGGUGACGAGUGGCGGACGGGUGAGUAAUGUCUGGGAAACUGCCCGAUGGAGGGGGAUAACUACUGGAAACGGUAGCUAAUACCGCAUAACGUCGCAAGACCAAAGUGGGGGACCUUCGGGCCUCACACCAUCGGAUGUGCCCAGAUGGGAUUAGCUAGUAGGUGGGGUAAUGGCUCACCUAGGCGACGAUCCCUAGCUGGUCUGAGAGGAUGAGCCGCCAAACUGGGACGGAGACACGGUCCAGAAGCCUACGGGAGGCAGCAGUGGGGAAUAUUGCACAAAUGGCGCAAGCCUGAUGCAGCCAUGCCGCGGGGAUGAAGAAGGCCUUCGGGUUGUAAAGUACUUUCAGCGGGGAGGAAGGCGGUGAAGUUAAUAGCUUCACCGAUUGACGUUACCCGCAGAAGAAGCACCGGCUAACUCCGUGCCAGCAGCCGCGGUAA